GUCCGCGUUGUAAUUUGUAGAGGAUGAUUCGGCGAGGGCUCCCGUCUAAGUCCCCUGGAACGGGGCGUCAUAGAGGGUGAGAAUCCCGUAUGUGAUGGGUUGCCUUAGCCAUGUGAAUCUCCUUCGACGAGUCGAGUUGUUUGGGAAUGCAGCUCUAAAUGGGAGGUAAAUUUCUUCUAAAGCUAAAUACCGGCCAGAGACCGAUAGCGCACAAGUAGAGUGAUCGAAAGAUGAAAAGCACUUUGGAAAGAGAGUUAAAAAGUACGUGAAAUUGUUGAAAGGGAAGCGCUUGCAGCCAGACUUGUCCGCAGUUGCUCAGCCGGUCUCCUGACCGGCGUACUCUUCUGCGGCCAGGCCAGCAUCAGUUCGGGCGGUCGGAUAAAGACCUCGGGAAUGUAGCUCCUCUCGGGGAGUGUUAUAGCCCGGGGUGGAAUGCGGCCAGCCUGGACUGAGGAUCUCGCUUCGGCUAGGAUGCUGGCGUAAUGGCUGUAAGCGGCCCGUCUUGAAACACGGACCAAGGAGUCUAACAUCUAUGCGAGUGUUUGGGUGUCAAACCCAUACGCGUAAUGAAAGUGAACGGAGGUGGGAACCCUCACGGGUGCACCAUCGACCGAUCCUGAUGUCUUCGGAUGGAUUUGAGUAUGAGCAUAGCUGUUGGGACCCGAAAGAUGGUGAACUAUGCCUGAAUAGGGUGAAGCCAGAGGAAACUCUGGUGGAGGCUCGCAGCGGUUCUGACGUGCAAAUCGAUCGUCAAAUUUGGGUAUAGGGGCGAAAG
rnacentral:rRNA from 1 species